UACAGGGGGUGCAAACGUUGCUCGGAAUUAUUGGGCGUAAAGCGCGCGUAGGCGGCUACCUAAGUCGGAUGUGAAAGCCCCUGGCUUAACCGGGGAAGUGCACCCGAAACUGGGUAGCUAGAGUGCAAAAGAGGGUCGCGGAAUUCCCAGUGUAGAGGUGAAAUUCGUAGAUAUUGGGAGGAACACCGGUGGCGAAGGCGGCGACCUGGGUUGACACUGACGCUGAGGCGCGAAAGCGUGGGGAUCAAACAGG
rnacentral:rRNA from 1 species